rnacentral:piRNA from 1 species
AUUCAUGUACCUCCUGAAAGAGGAUUUGGU